ACGCAGGCGGUCUGUCAAGUCGGAUGUGAAAUCCCCGGGCUCAACCUGGGAACUGCAUUCGAAACUGGCAGGCUAGAGUCUUGUAGAGGGGGGUAGAAUUCCAGGUGUAGCGGUGAAAUGCGUAGAGAUCUGGAGGAAUACCGGUGGCGAAGGCGGCCCCCUGGACAAAGACUGACGCUCAGGUGCGAAAGCGUGGGGAGCAAACAGGAUUAGAUACCCUGGUAGUCCACGCCGUAAACGAUGUCGAUUUGGAGGUUGUGCCCUUGAGGCGUGGCUUCCGGAGCUAACGCGUUAAAUCGACCGCCUGGGGAGUACGGCCGCAAGGUUAAAACUCAAAUGAAUUGACGGGGGCCCGCACAAGCGGUGGAGCAUGUGGUUUAAUUCGAUGCAACGCGAAGAACCUUACCUGGUCUUGACAUCCACAGAACUUUCCAGAGAUGGAUUGGUGCCUUCGGGAACUGUGAGACAGGUGCUGCAUGGCUGUCGUCAGCUCGUGUUGUGAAAUGUUGGGUUAAGUCCCGCAACGAGCGCAACCCUUAUCCUUUGUUGCCAGCGGUUAGGCCGGGAACUCAAAGGAGACUGCCAGUGAUAAACUGGAGGAAGGUGGGGAUGACGUCAAGUCAUCAUGGCCCUUACGACCAGGGCUACACACGUGCUACAAUGGCAUAUACAAAGAGAAGCGACCUCGCGAGAGCAAGCGGACCUCAUAAAGUAUGUCGUAGUCCGGAUUGGAGUCUGCAACUCGACUCCAUGAAGUCGGAAUCGCUAGUAAUCGUAGAUCAGAAUGCUACGGUGAAUACGUUCCCGGGCCUUGUACACACCGCCCGUCACACCAUGGGAGUGGGUUGCAAAAGAAGUAGGUAGCUUAACCUUCGGGAGGGCGCUUACCACUUUGUGAUUCAUGACUGGGGUGAAGUCGUAACAAGGUAACCGUAGGGGAACCUGCGGUUGGAUCACCUCCUU
rnacentral:rRNA from 1 species